UUGAGCCGUAUGCGCGGAUGACGUGCACGUACGGUUCUGAGGGGGCCGGGGUCCAGCAAUGGACUCCGGCUACCCGAC
rfam:Streptomyces sp. MTSC 1 52, whole genome shotgun sequence.